AAAACUGUAAUGACUGAAGCUUUCUGCCCCUUGCACAUCUUCUGGAAGAUACCUGUAAUGUUGAAGAUCAACGACAUUCUUCUCUGAGUAACCAACCUGUCACAACAGGAACUGAGACUGUAAAGACAAAUCCUAGACCAGGCUUGUCUAGGAAGACUUCAUAGCCCAGAGGAUAAUGCAAGGAUAAUGCGAAUGGAGUGAGUCUGGAGUUGUAAGCAGGCACCCAGGAAGUGCAGUGGAAACACAAAGGACUGGCUGAGCUAAAGCUCCUACAACCAGAUGCAGGUGCUAUGGAGGCUGGAGGUGAUCCAGGUGCCCUGGAGCUGGAGCAGCUAUGAGCCACCUGAUAUGGAUGGCAGUCCUCUUAAAGAGUACUGCGUUCAGAUCUGCUGAGCUACCUCGACAACCCUUUGACUGGACUUGUGCCCUUCUCAGCUGGCCUUUUCCUCCUCUUCCUCCUCUUCCUCUUCUCUUUCUUCCUUCUCCUCCUUUUUUAUUUUUGCCACAUUUGAUUCACCUACUAAGCCA
rnacentral:lncRNA from 1 species